UAUUGACAUUGGAACUGAAUUAUUUGUU
rnacentral:piRNA from 1 species